rnacentral:rRNA from 1 species
AGAGUUUGAUCCUGGCUCACGUUUGAACGCUGGCGGCGUGCCUAAUACAUGCAAGUCGAGCGGAAUGAUGAAGAAGCUUGCUUCUUCUGAUUUUAGCGGCGGACGGGUGAGUAACACGUGGGCAACCUACCUUGUAGAUUGGGAUAACUCCGGGAAACCGGGGCUAAUACCGAAUAAUCCAUUUUGCUUCAUGGCGAGAUGUUAAAAGGCGGCUUCGGCUGUCACUACGAGAUGGGCCCGCGGCGCAUUAGCUAGUUGGUAGGGUAAUGGCCUACCAAGGCGACGAUGCGUAGCCGACCUGAGAGGGUGAUCGGCCACACUGGGACUGAGACACGGCCCAGACUCCUACGGGAGGCAGCAGUAGGGAAUCUUCCACAAUGGACGAAAGUCUGAUGGAGCAACGCCGCGUGAGUGAAGAAGGUUUUCGGAUCGUAAAACUCUGUUGUAAGGGAAGAACACGUACGAGAGUAACUGCUCGUACCUUGACGGUACCUUAUUAGAAAGCCACGGCUAACUACGUGCCAGCAGCCGCGGUAAUU